UGGGAGCCCACAAUUGUUCAGGGCAUCAAAUGUGCUAUAGCAUCAUAUUCUAUUCUGGAAACACAUCCAUUGACAAAUUGAAAAAACUUCAUUGCAAAAGGUUGCAGGAAAAAAUGAUUGCUUGCUGGAAAUUGAUCCGAACUUCUACAUAAUUGUGAAGCUGAUAGCUAGUUCCCUUCCCAUAUUUCAGUAAUAGCCUAAUGGGGGAAAAGAAAUUGACAAUAAAUGUUAUAUUCCAUAGUCAACGAUCAGUAUAGAAACAAGAUAAUCAAUCAAUCAAUUACUCAGCUCUUCUUCUUCUUUCCAAACUCACAAUAAGAAGGUUGAUAAUAAAGAUGAAGGCUAUCCCGUUGGCACAUCAAGAUAAUGCAUCCAACAAAAAGCCAUGAACCUCUAUAACUGAAGAAAUAGAAAAUGAAGAAAAUGUAUGGUCUUUGUUGAUUUUGUGUGUUGGUCAUCUGGAGUAAAAGCAACUGAGAAAAGUAUCAGGAUCUUUUCUGUGUCUUCUCUUUCAUAGCAACUUCAACAUACCAUGAUUUCCAAGCCUCCACAUAGUGACCAAAAAGGUCACUGAGGACUGCCACACCAUUGACAAAACACACCCCAUAUUAGUUACCACAAAUCACAAUAGUUUUAGGUAAAGUAUCGUGUGGGUGUACACAUUACUAUCAUGCACGAUGCAGAUCCUGGGCAACAGAGAAAAUCCCAAACACCAAUUGAGUUACUGAAAGCUGAAAGAUAACUUGCGAUGUGUAAGAAAAAAUAGAGUAGGGGGGAACCUAGAUUGUGUAGCAUUUGUCUUUACAUAAACAGUGUAGUGAUCAUUCAAACAAUUAUGAGAUUAAAAAAAAUGUGUGGCUUACGUAUUGUAGAGAAAUGGGAGUAAAUUUUCGAUAGGGAAAAGAGAAGAAAAAGACUGCUUAAGGAUUUAAAAGUGAUUUCUUUCCAAAUGAAGCCUCAAAUCAAAAUUAAGGAUCAUCAGGCAUCAUAAGCCAUGAAAAGACAGAGCUGUUUCCCGGACACAAGGAAAAGGUAUGCAGAAUUGCAGAUUGCCAGUUGACAAGCAAGCACAAAACUGUUGCUAGUGUUUUGCUUCCCAAUUAACCAGGCUAAACCUUAGAAAGAACUUUUGUAAUGAAAUCUAGGACGUACCUUGAUUGUUAUACUGAGGAUGAUAAGUAAAAGCGAGUCUCUCCAAGUCCUGAAUCCGGCUCACAAUUUUAUUUUUAGAAUCACUAACUGUUUGCACACCCACAGGAGUAAAUGGGCCAAAUUCAACACACUUUGAGCUAUGUUUUGUAUGCUGAUCUGGUUUGUUUUCAUUGCAAUCAUUUUCCAAAUCCUUGCAUCUAAUAAUCACUGGAACAUUUUCCUUCUGAUUUGAGUUCCAAUCAAUAGAAGAAUCCCCUUUGUUUCUCUUCAUAUUAUAGUUUGAAAUGUCAGUCCCAAAAAUCCUCUUGUUUGGCUGUUUCAGAUCCAAAGAAGUCACAGGUCCAUUGUUUCCUCUCCAUCCCAACCACCUGAAGGCCGGUUUCCUACUAUCUGGGUGAUGGGUCUUUUCGAUCAGAUUCAUGGAAGAAAAAACAUUUGCAAUAUCGUAAAGUCGUCUAACUUUUGUUCUCAUAGCUGUUGAAUUGUGACCAUCACCCAGCAAUAACGCAGCUGCAUUAUCAAGCGUUAUCAUGUCCACCUUUGCCGAAUUGCAGGAAGCAAAAGCACUAAAAUUCUUUCUGAAACCCUCUUCCUUGAGACCCUCAAGAGCACGAGGAAUUGCUUCAAAACCUUUCCAUAAGUAUCGAUUCUUUUGUUUUCUAGCUACAACACCAACACUCUCCAAUAUAUUGACCACAUCAUAAAUCCGGCGCCUUUCAACUCCUAAUCUGGCAGCAGCAUCAUCUAGUCCAAUUGAGUCAACACCACCACUAUCAUAUAAUCUCAAGAAAUUGGUGCACAAAACUCCUAGAGAUUUCUCUUUACGGCAGUAAAAUUGUCUCCCAUUUGGAUCAGAUUCCCGAGAAACAAACGAGGACAUUUCCCUCAAAAAUCUGCCACGAAAGGCAAUGAAAUCUGGUUCUUUUAAUCUAAUAUUUCUUCAGUUUUCCUAUGGAGAAGAGAAGGAGAGACCGUAAAAAGGGGUCAAUGGCGGGUUUGCCAAAUUCAAAACCGGAUUCGGAUUGAUGUCUCUGAGUAUUGGAUCGCGGGAAUUCAAAUUGAGAUCUGAGGCGCGGUUGUACGGGAUGACUUGUUUGCCCUUG
rnacentral:misc_RNA from 1 species